GAUGAACGCUGGCGGCGUGCCUAAUACAUGCAAGUCGAGCGAACGGACGAGAAGCUUGCUUCUCUGAUGUUAGCGGCGGACGGGUGAGUAACACGUGGAUAACCUACCUAUAAGACUGGGAUAACUUCGGGAAACCGGAGCUAAUACCGGAUAAUAUUUUGAACCGCAUGGUUCAAAAGUGAAAGACGGUCUUGCUGUCACUUAUAGAUGGAUCCGCGCUGCAUUAGCUAGUUGGUAAGGUAACGGCUUACCAAGGCAACGAUGCAUAGCCGACCUGAGAGGGGGAUAGGCCACACUGGAACUGAGACACGGUCCAGACUCCUACGGGAGGCAGCAGUAGGGAAUCUUCCGCAAUGGGCGAAAGCCUGACGGAGCAACGCCGCGUGAGUGAUGAAGGUCUUCGGAUCGUAAAACUCUGUUAUUAGGUAAGAACAUAUGUGUAAGUAACUGUGCACAUCUUGACGGUACCUAAUCAGAAAGCCACGGCUAACUACGUG
rnacentral:rRNA from 1 species